rnacentral:rRNA from 1 species
GACGAACGCUGGCGGCGUGCUUAACACAUGCAAGUCGAACGGAAAGGCCCUGCUUUUGUGGGGUGCUCGAGUGGCGAACGGGUGAGUAACACGUGAGUAACCUGCCCUUGACUUUGGGAUAACUUCAGGAAACUGGGGCUAAUACCGGAUAGGAGCUCCUGCUGCAUGGUGGGGGUUGGAAAGUUUCGGCGGUUGGGGAUGGACUCGCGGCUUAUCAGCUUGUUGGUGGGGUAGUGGCUUACCAAGGCUUUGACGGGUAGCCGGCCUGAGAGGGUGACCGGCCACAUUGGGACUGAGAGACGGCCCAGACUCCUACGGGAGGCAGCAGUGGGGAAUAUUGCACAAUGGGCGGAAGCCUGAUGCAGCAACGCCGCGUGCGGGAUGACGGCCUUCGGGUUGUAAACCGCUUUCGCCUGUGACGAGGCGUGAGUGACGGUAAUGGGUAAAGAAACACCGGCUAACUACGU